GCCUCGGUGGUGUAGUGGUGGCACGCGUCCCUGGUAUGGGUCAGACGCAGGUUCAAGUCCAGUCUAAGGUC